UACCCCGACACAAGCCUUCGCAUUUUUCCCCUACGCAAACCUUCACCUUUGCAAUUUUACCGAUGACAACCUUCUCGUUUUUCCCUAACGCACAACCUUCGUGUUGAGACGUCUUCACUUCCUUUCCUCUCUGCACUCUAGCGUCACUGGGGGAAUUGACCUUGGAUAGGUUAUCCUCUUUGAGAUUUCUUGACCACGGGAAGAAGAGGCAAGUGCUUUCUAGGAGUUUGAGCUUGAGUAUGCCAUUUCUAACUGAUCUGGUCUUACAAGCCCAGUAGCUCAUCCACCAGGUUGGUUUUUGACAUCUCCUACCCUAUGGUUUCUCUCUUCUUCAUAUGGGAUAAGUAUAUGUGUUCUUUAGGGGAAGGGAUUUUUCAGAAUUAGGGGGAUGGGAUUUUUCAAAAUUAGCCACUUCUUUAGGGGGAUAAUUAGAUGUGUUCUUGCGUUUUCUUCUGACUUUCCGUAAAUUUAUCACUCAAAUGAUAUUUUGGAUGUUAGAUCAAUCACUAUUGUUAGAUCAAUUACUGAUGUUUCUCUCCUUGCCUAAACCAUUUAAGUAUUUUUUUUUUAUUGAAAUAAGUUGCUCAUUGAUUAUUUGUUGAACCCUUUUUGGUCAUGGAUUUCAUAAUAUGUGAAUUUCAGAUUGAAACCUUCAUGAAUGGACUAUCCAUUGAACCCUUUUGGUGUUCAAAACUUCAUCUAUAACAUUAACUCAUAGAUCUACUGAUAUGAAAAGGAAUCUCUUGUCUUAGAUUGGAAUGCAUACAUAGAUAUACUAAUAUGAUUCUUCUAACACUUGUACAAUUUAUGAAUCGAGUGUCAUGAUUGUUGAGUGUCAUUUAUGAUAAUAUUAGAAUGGUAGCAAACUCAUUUAAAGCCACAUCUUAUCCAUUAGAGAAAUGUUAUGCAAUGUAGGUUGACCAUUUUGUAGUUCUCUCUACAAUGCAAUUUUCUAUUUAUAAUGCAAUUAUCCCCUCUUUCAUAUUAAUGAUAUCUUUGUUAAUCUCUUUGUUGAGGAAAGAUAAAAAAAUUAUUGAAACUCAUACAUGAGCUUCCUAUGUUCAUCUUAAUUACUCCUCUUAUUUCCUAUUGUUGAAAUUUCUUUUAGCUUUAAUUGGACUUAACUUAAUUAGAAUCCUUAAUUUCUCUAUGCAAUUCAAGCUUCAGGUUUAUUCUAUAUGCACUCUCCUUAAUUAGCACAGUAUUGUCUACAAAUAACAAAUUGAUUUGAAAUUUACAUUAUCACCCAACAUGUUAAAUAAUAACAUAUUAGACAUAUGAGACUAUAUGCAAUCUAAAAUACAUGAAACAGAAGUAUAAGAAUGCAUGCCAAUCUACUGAAGCAAUGUGUAAUAGUAUGGAGAAAUCAUUAGAGUAAAUCUUUUGUUUAUGUAUUAGUUUUUUAUUUCAAACUGAUUUAAUUAGUAUUAGAUUGGACAUGAUUGAAAUUUAAGGGAUAAAUUACCCUCAUAUAACUCUCAUGUGAGAGGCUUAUGUUUUUUUUUUCUCUAAAAAUUCUUCCAACUGCAUGACACAUGCAGUAAGCAAGCACAGAUGUGGCGGUCUAUGAGGUCCAAAAUUCAUAUUGAUAAAAAUGCAUAUUAUAUUUCUAACAAUGUGUGUUAAUCAAUCAACCUAUGCGAUCUGCAUCUUUACAUACAAAACUAUUUGUUAAGAUAUGCAAUCAAUGUAAUAGAAAUACCCAAUCAAUGAACCUAAGAAAUUCAUAUGCAUUUUGGAAAGAUGCAAAUACAUACAAGCAUAUGAGAUUUAGGGUGCUUUAUAAGUUACCCCGUUUCUGAAAAUGCAUAUGCAAAUCCACUUUUUAAAACAUAAACAUUUUUAAUUUGUUUUCUUGGUCACUAACUCUUGAUCUUCAGAGCCAGUCUAGUUAUUCCUUCUAUUCUACUGAUUAAUCUUUGGGAAUAUUUUGUUAAGAACAAUAGUGUGUGCUAUUAUGUUGAAGUUGGUGUUCUUAUGGUUGGAGACAACCAUGUAUGGUUUUUCCUUCAAAACUCAACUGCUAGUUUGAUGAAGUUGUUGAAAAAUUCAGGUAAUCAUCUUCUUUAAUAAAACAAAUAAAUGAUCAUAUUGCUUAGUUAAAGUUAAAGUUUGCUUAGUUACAUUGUGGGAAGAGAUCUUAGUUAAAGUUUUGCUUAAAGUUUUAUGAUGAUGAUGAUUAUGGUUACCUUGUAUGUUCUAGUUUUUUUAAUGUUGAUGUCAUAGUCCUUUGGUUAUGUUCUAGUUUUUACCUUGUACGAUCUCCCGAAAAGGAUAUUGUAGCAAACUGAGAUGCAUACUCGUGAGAAAUAGUGUAGCUAAUAGGCACCGAGUAGUCUUUGAAUUAAAAUCAUCCCGUGCUUUCCUUAAGUGCAUCCAGUGCUUUUCUUUCUCAAUGGAAUUUAUUGUUGGUUCAAGUGAGGGCAGAACAAACUUUAUACAGAAAAAAACAUCGUCAUCUUGCACAACAGUACAUAAUUGGCACGGUAUAUCAUCAAUUAGAAUUGCCAUUAUGCGUUGUCAUGCAAUAACUACUCAAAGUUAAGUCCAAGCUUAUCGAUCACUGCAUAGAGUAACACUACCAUUGGUACUCAAGAACUAGAAAAAAGAAAACCUAAUGUCUCGGUUUCUCCUGCAUUUUUUUUUCUUUUGGUCCAAAUUAUGUAUAUGAGUGUAGCAUUUUUUUGCCAUUACCUUACAAUUACCUUGAAGACAAUAGAGCUGAGUAUGUCUCAUUUAUAUAUCCUGAUUACAUAUCUAUAUGCGGUGUCCGCAAAGAUGAUAGUAAAUUAUCACAACAUAUUACUGUUCAGUUGGGAGCAUCAAAUAGAUAUAACAUCUACCACUAUAAAAAAAAAUCACUAUUUUGGGACAAAUUUAUAAAAUAUUUUCAUUACAAAAUUUUUGGGGACGAAAUAUGCGACGAAAAAAUUUUUGUCCCAAAAUUCUCGUUGCCAACUUGGCGACAAAUUGGGGGAUGAAAUUAGCGACAAAUAGUAUCUUUGUCGCCAAAUUCGUCACCAAGUUUGCAACAAAAAUAAUAUUCGUUGCAAAUUGUUGCAAACUUGGGGAUGAAUUUGGUGACAAAAUUGGCAACAAAUUUAAAUUUUGUCGUCAAAUUCGUUGCAAAUUCUGCAACAAAAAUAAUAUUCGUCGCAAAAUUAUCUUUAACAAAAAUUAUUUGUCCCAAAAUUUCAUCCCUAAUCUAUUGAUUUUUUGUAGUGUACUUUAUCCCAUACAACACUAGGUAAGAUUUUAAUUAUUUAUCAAUUCCUAUUAUAUACUAGUCAAUGUUAUAUUUUCAUUUGUCAAGGUACCAUUGGAUCUUGACUAUAAUUAAUGAAGAUAAGAAUAUGAUAUAUUUAUUAGACUUUUUGAGUAACAUGAAUCAAGACCAUGCUUAACAAACUAUUAUGACCAAGUAGCUAGUAGAUAAUGCUGAUUGUGAAUACAUUCAGUUCAUUAGAGAUUGUAAAAGUAACUUUCUAUUUUUUAUAAUAUAGUGGGGUACAAUGUAUCAAGGGGCAUUUUAAAAAGAUGAGGUUUUAAACAAUUGACAUUAUAUAUUGUGACUAUUUAGGUAUCAAUUAAUAAUUCAUAUUAUUUGGAUUGUAACUAAUUGCAUUACAUUUUUAAUUUUAUUAGGGUAAUCUAAAACAAUAUAUUAUGACCAAGUAGGUAGUAGAUAAUGCUGAUUGUGAAUACAUUCAGUUCAUUAGAGAUUGUAAAAAUAACUUUCUAUUUUUUAUAAUAUAGUGGGGUACAAUGUAUCAAGGGGUAUUUUAAAAAGAUGAGGUUUUAAACAAUUGACAUUAUAUAUUGUGACUAUUUAGGUAUCAAUUAAUAAUUCUUAUUAUUUGGAUUGUAACUAAUUGCAUUACAUUUUUAAUUUUAUUAGGGUAAUCUAAAAUAAAAUAGUGGUGUUGAAUGUGGAUAUUGUGUAAUGUGGUACAUGAAAGAGAUAGUUUUAAAUGAAGAUCCAUAAUUAGAGAGGAAGAUGAAUUUCUUUUUUAUGAAAUAUCUUUUUUUAUAAAAUAUUGAGUCAUUCUGCGUUGAUCCUCAAACUUCUGUUAAUACUUUAGCUUGCAACAUCAAAUAACAUUACAAUCAAUCUUAGUAUAAUGAAGUCAAAAGUGAAUAAAGCUAAUUCGUCUACUUCUACAUGGGUGUCUAAGUGUAGGAUGUGAUAUAAAUUUUGGAUUGUAUAUAGAGAUUUAUGGAUACAAAAGAAUUUGGGUGAAGUUAGUCAAACUUGUCUUUUGUGAAUAUACUUUUAUGUUAUAUUUAAAAAUAUAUGGAUACAAAAGGUUUUGGGUGAAGUUAGUUAAACAUAUCUUUUAUGAAUGUAUUUUUGGAUUGUAUUUGAUAGAUAUUUGUAAUAUAUUUGUUCAAUUUAGUGGUGAAAAAUAUUGUGUUAUAGUAAAAUAUUAGGAUAUACACUUUUGUCAAUUAAAAUUUUAUUAUAGUAAAAUAUGAUCAAUUACUUUGACACUGUGAAUAAAUGGUGAAGUAAUACAACAUAAAAGACUUCGUCAAAUUUCAAUAGUGGCAUAGUUAAAGACACUAGUCACUUCACCAUUGAUCAAAUUUAUGAAGUCGUCUAUAUAAAUUACUUGGAUAAAUUGAAUUUUUAUUGUAGUAAAAUAUGCUCUAUUACGUCUACACUAUAAUAAAUAAUACAAUAAAAAAUACUUCAACCAAACUAAAUUAUAUAGAAGUAAAAUUAAACAUUUGCUACACCAUAAUACAAAAUUUGUGAAGUCAUAUAUAUAUUUUACUUCGUUAAUCAAUGUAAUCUAUGAAGUCAUAUACUCAACUACUUCGGUACUAUUAUAUAACUGAUAAAAUAAUAAAGCCUUUUUACUUCAAAAUCAAUCUAAUUUCAAACCGAUUUUGAACCAGCGAAAGAUUUUAGUACUUUUGUAGCAAAGUAAUAAACUGACCCUUUUACUUAACAUACGUCUACUUUGGUAAUUAUUUACCUAUUACUUUGGAUAAUAUCCGAAGUCUAUUGAACAUUUUCAUAUACUGUGAGGUAUUCAAGUCACCUUAGUCAUGGAGGCGUAUAUUUUGACAUCUUAAUCAAUACAUCUCCAUAGAGGUGUGAGUACAGGAUGAUUGGGUAUAAAUCAAAGUGUCUGAAGGUGUUUGAAUAGCUCAUAGAAGAUUCACCGUUCCUUGCAAAAGGAAAUGUAUACCCUACAACUAUUUGUUAGGAUUGUUACUUAAAGUCUUUGGCCAAAGUAUUAUAUAUCAAGAAUACGGUACUCUUGGACACAUAUCUAAGUAAUUUCAAUCCACAUAAUGAGAAAGUAUGACUUGGGCUAGGUGUGACAUAGUCAGCUUAGUGAAGACUAACACAUAGACCAUAUCCUGAACUAAGUGUGUAUAAGAUGAGUGAAAAAAACAAGACAUGGCUCACUAUAGCUGCUGAAGGGUUCAAAAAGUGGUAUUGAGAUCAACCAUUGAUUUCUGGUCAAUUGAGAGUUAUGAUGUACUACUAGGUGUCACUCAUGAUCUAUUCAAAAUUAACAUAAUUAAUGGUUAAUUAUGAAUGAUCAAUAUAACUGAGAACAUAUUGAGUCACAUGCACUAUAAAUUUAUCCGAAAGACUUAAAAUAAGUUUGAAAAUUAUAUUUUUAAAAUCAAGAGAGAUUGAGUCUGGUUGGACUAGACGAAGGGUAAAUAUGGAAGAUAUUUUAUUAGAAUGGAAACACAGGUGGACCACAUCUUUUGAAGAUGAAUUGAACCCUCUUUGGUUUAAUUAUAAACUAAAUUGGUUUAGUUUUAAUUAAAAGAGGUUUAGUUAUUAACCAAGUGGUCUCGUUUUGAACCAAACUUAUGGCUAAUAGUUUAGAAUUUAGGUCAGUGGUAACGGAUUUGGAUUCGCUAAUUAAACUUGAUAAGAUAUCUAUAUAUUGAUAUAGAUUGAAGAGAAAAUUUAAUGAAUUGAAUCAUAACCUAAGGUUAGGUUUUUUGUUCUCUCCCUCUCCCUCUUUGUGCUAAAUCCUUCUUUGCACCACCACUAAUAUCGAUCGAUGACACUGCUAUUCAACGCCUAUAUUGAUUGACAUCACUAUUGUUCGACAUCGCCACCGAUCGACACCUCUACCGUUAGGUGUCGACACCUCGUUUGGUAUCGUCGGGUUGCCUUGAGCCGCUAGACACCAAGUCGAGCUUUGGCUUCCUCUCUCAAAUCCAUCUUUCCCUCAUUUAGCUAGUACCGAAUCUGAGAUGAAAACUUGUGACUUAACGAAGCCGUCUCAACAAUUGCUCAGCGUGGAUACGAAUAGAGGCGAGGUUUUAUAGCCUCACUGGUUGAUGUCAUUUCUACUCCACGUUAUCCGGUAGGUAUAAUUUUUAUCGUAAAAUUUUAUAUUGUGGUUAUGUCUAGCAUGUUGUAUCUUGUAUGUGUGUGAUACAUGUGUUAUAAUAAUUAGUUUAAUUAUUAUUUGUCUUCCACUGUACAUUUGUGAAAUGUGUCCAAUGCACGCAUCCAUCGGCCUCCCCAACAAGACACACCCGAUCACCUAAGAUAAAAGGACUUGCAUUCGUCAACAUACAUCAUAGUGAAACUAAACCUUAAUUUUUCUUUCCAAACUAACUUUCUCACUAUUUUCUCUCGAUCUCUUUUGGUUCUUUACCUAAACCUUCUAGAUAAAUUGCUUCACAAGUAUUUUGGUACUCAAUACAGUUCCAAUGGAAGAUAUUAUUGUAUUACUUGACGACAUUGUGUACUUUCAGAAUAACAUACAUCAGUGACUGGAUGCUUAGAAAUUGGUGUAAAGUGCUAGAAGGUCAACAGUGACUGAAUAUUUGACAGUUGGUGUAAAAUCUGAGUAGGUUAACAAUGACCACAUGAUGGCAUUUGGUGAGCGUCCAAGUAGGUAAAUGCGUUGAUGCUUUGCAAUUGGUAAAGUUAAGUCAUUCAAAAGAGACCGGAUGUUUGAAAAGGGUAAAAUUCCUAGAAGGAAACCAGAUGUUAAUUAAGAGUAAAAACUCAAAAGGAGUGAAAUCAAGAUAGGUGUAAAGUUCAUGCAAAUCAAAAGGGAAUCAAAUUCUUGGCAACGGAAAAAGUCUUAAAGGAGUAAACUUUAGGUAGGUACCAAAGUGAACUCCAAGCAAAUCUUGAUAAAUCAGGUAGAAUAGAUGCUAGACAUGCUUAGUAGGUUAGGUAAACCAAUUAUUAAGCAUACGUGUAUAUUCUAUGUUGUAUUUGGACUACCCCUUAUGUUGUAGGGAAAACAUGAUUUUUGGCUAUAAAAAAAUGGUUCUGUCGACUAAAAGUUUCAAGUGAUCGAAGGGAAUCCAUGCAACCUAAGGUCAAAGAUAAGCCUCAGGCAGGUGAUGUGGCUAGAUGAUGUUUUUCAUUCCGGUGAUCAAAAGUGAUUCAAAGGUCUAGAUCGACAUCCAAUCAGCACAAGAUGUUGCAUGUACGUGGACACAAAAAAUUGACAAAGGGGGAGACUAGGAGAUCAGAUGAAGAUUUGGGAAACUUGAUAGUGGACAACAAAGACUAAACGGUUAGAGAAUGUCAAGUUUCAAGCGAUUGGAACAUUCUUCAAUCACCCAAAACAUCACUAUUUAUACAGCUUCAAGCAAAUAAUCACAAUCAAUUAAUUUCUCAUUCAAUGUUCUAAAAAGUUCACGAAAUGUUGUCUAGUUGAUCUAAGAAGUGCUAAAACAAGUACAGUUGCAUUUAGAGCUUCGAGAAACAAUUAAGUUUUUGUAAUAUUUUGUUAUUUAAAAUGAUAUUAUUAUUAUUUUUUGCAUU